GUGAACGCUGGCGGUAGGCCUAACACCUGCCAGUCGAACGGCAGCACCGUAAGAGCUUGCUCUUACGGGUGGCGAGUGGCGGACGGGUGAGGAAUACAUCGGAAUCUACUUUUUCGUGGGGGAUAACGUAGGGAAACUUACGCUAAUACCGCAUACGACCUACGGGUGAAAGCAGGGGAUCUUCGGACCUUGCGCGAUUGAAUGAGCCGAUGUCGGAUUAGCUAGUUGGCGGGGUAAAGGCCCACCAAGGCGACGAUCCGUAGCUGGUCUGAGAGGAUGAUCAGCCACACUGGAACUGAGACACGGUCCAGACUCCUACGGGAGGCAGCAGUGGGGAAUAUUGGACAAUGGGCGCAAGCCUGAUCCAGCCAUACCGCGUGGGUGAAGAAGGCCUUCGGGUUGUAAAGCCCUUUUGUUGGGAAAGAAAAGCAGCAGGUUAAUACCCCGCUGUUCUGACGGUACCCAAAGAAUAAGCACCGGCUAACUUCGUG
rnacentral:rRNA from 1 species